CACAGAAGCUGGUAACUGCAGCAGCACAGACAGCACGGAGCAGAUGCCUGGGAGUUGAAGGUCUGCCACUUGCCGGCACCUCUGUCACCAGCAGGAACAUGGGAAGCUCAGAGUCCCGGGUGUCCUCUGUCCCAGCUCAGGAGCUGGGCACAUUCAUCCAGAAGCAGCUGCGGCCCUAUGAGAGCUGUGAGAAGCAGAUCCAGGAGACCGUGGGUGUCAUCUGCUCCAUCCUGCUGGGAGGCGGCAUCCCGCUGGUGCAGGGUGUGGCCGUGGGUGGCUGCUACGGCAGGAAGACUGUCUUGAGAGGCGAUUCCCAUGGCACCCUCGUCCUCUUCCUCAGUUGCUUAGAGCACUUCCAGGAUCAGACGAAACCCCAGGACGAAAUCCUCAAGAGCGUCAUGUCCCAGCUGGAGGACAGUCGGAGCAGGCAGAGGCUGAAACACCAGUGGGAGACCCUCAGGACCCCUGGGGGGAUCUCAAUCAGGGUGUCCACGCCAUGGCAGAAGGUCACUUUCGAGGUGCUGGCUGCCUUCAAUGCCCUGAGUUUAAGCGCAAACCCCACGCCCUGGCUGUAUCGAGAACUCAUCAGAUCCAUGGAUGAGACCAAAGCCGCGCCGGGCAAGUUCUCUGUCUGCUUCGCUCAACUCCAGGAGAAGUUCUUUAAGAAGUAUCCCCCUAAAGUGAAGGACCUGAUCCUCCUGAUGAAGCGCUGGUAUAGACAGUGUCCCAAGGAAGGGCCGUCCCAUGAGCCACUGUCCACCUAUGCUCUGGAGCUGCUGGCUGUGUACGCCUGGGAGCAGGGCUGCAGGGCUGAGGACUUCAACAUUGCAGAAGGUGUCAGGGCCAUCCUGGGGCUGAUCCGGCGUCCAGAGCAGCUGUGUGUCUAUUGGACGGUCAACUACAACCUGGAGGAUGCGACUGUCAGGAACAGACUCCUGCGCCAGCUUGGGUCCAAGAGGCCCGUCAUCCUGGACCCAGUGGAUCUAACCCACAAUGUGGGCGGAUACGUCCCCUGGCAGGACCUGCAGGCAGAAGCGCAGGCCUGGCUGGCCUCGCUCAGCUCCACACCAGCCUGGAGUGUUCUGCCAGCGCCUCUCUUCAUGACCCCAGGCCAUCAGCUGGACAAGUUCAUCAAGGACUUUCUCGAGCCCAAUGAAGAUUUCCUAUGUCAGAUCAGGAAAGCUGUCGACAUCAUCUGUUCAUUCCUCAGAGAAACUUGCUUUAAGUCUUCACCUACCAAAGUCCAAAGGAUCAUCAAGGGGGGGUCCACCGCCAAGGGCACAGCGCUGAAGACCGGCUCAGAUGCCGACAUCGUCGUGUUCCUGAGCUCACUGAAGAGCUUCCCCUCCCAAAAAACCUACCGGAGCGAAAUCGUCCAGGAAAUCCGCACGCAGCUGGAGGCUUGCCGGCAGCAGCACCAGUUUGAAGUGAAGUUUGAGAUUUCCAAAUGGACAGCUCCCAGGGUGCUUAGCUUCUCCCUGAAAUCCCAACACCUCAAUGAAAGUGUGGACUUCGAUGUGCUGCCUGCCUAUGACGCACUGGGUCCAGGAAAGUCCACCCUUUGGGCCUAUGAAGAGCUCAUCAAUGUGUACAGAUCUUCAGACAUCAUCGGGGGAGAGUUUUCUACCUGUUUCACAGAGCUCCAGCGCGACUUCAUUCUUUCCCAGCCCACCAAACUGAAGAGCUGCAUUCGCCUGGUAAAAUACUGGUAUAAACAGUGUGAAAAGAAAAUGAAGCCAAAGGGAUCCCUGCCCCCAAAGUACGCCCUGGAGCUGCUCACCAUCUAUGCCUGGCAGCAGGGCAAUGGGAUGGAAGAUUUCAGCACUGCAGAAGGUUUCCGGACGGUCCUGGAGCUGGUCACAAAGUAUCAGCAGCUCUCCAUCUACUGGACCGACAAUUACAACUUCCAAGAUGAGACGACAAGGCAGUUCCUGCUGGCCCAGCUCCAAAGGACCAGGCCCAUAAUCUUGGAUCCAGCCGAACCCACUGGUGAUGUGGGUGGUGGGGACCGCUGGUGUUGGCACCUUCUGGCAAAAGAAGCGAAGGAAUGGUUUUCCUCCCUCUGCUUCAGGGAUGGCAUGGGGAACUCUGUCCAGCCGUGGAAAGUACCAGUAAGUGCUCUAAAAGAGGCCUGACCCGCACACCGCUUCACAGCAGGCUUGACUCGAGAAUUUCUCCUGCUACGACCAUGCUGAAUAAUUCAAAGAACAAAAAACUGAAGUGAUCGUUGCUGAAACAAUGGCUCCCCUCCCCUAAUCUGUUACAAGUGAUCCUGAGGCCGAGACCCCAGGACUCACGCUGCAGGGAAGUGGAGCUUUCUCCAGGACGGAAGGGUCCCCAGCAUCAGCCGCAGUAACAACACAUGGGGCUGCUUGUGCUUCACUGGGCAUGGGAUGGGCACUGUGAGGAUGCUGAGGUGUGUCUUUGGUCUCAGGGUCCCCUGGCAUCGGAGACCUGGCUCUUUCUGGCUGUGGGCUUUGGCGUCACAUUCCUUAGUUGGUGGCUUUGGUACUCAUGGCCCACACUGCAGCAGCAGCACCUCCAGACGGUGAACCCAGGCAGGAUGAACAGAAGGGGGAAAGAUCGGCAGGACCAGAGCACAGGGAUUUUAUCAGACGCUUCACGCAGGAAUUCUUCCACUUCACCUCCUAGAAUGAAUUACUGUGUGGCUGCAGAGAGGGCAUGACAAUGACCGUGGAUAUGGAUUGGGUCGGUCACUCGAGACUCCCGGCCACCCCCUCCUGGGGUCCCCCUCCUGCCAGGCAGCCCCUGGGCACCCCACCAUGGUGCAUCCCCAUCCGGGACUCUGGUCCCUUCGCUCACACCCCCAGCUUCUUUCUUUAAAGCAGGCUUUCUCAGGCUGGGACUCUUGACAUUUGAGGCCAGAUGCUUCUCUGCGUAGAAGCGUCUCCUGCACAUUGUAGGACAUUGAUCCCAAGCCUCAUGCUACUCACCG